CACAGGCUCAGUGCACAACUGCACAGAUUCUCUGUGCGAGGUCAGCUAGUAAUAUAUAAAAAGAGAACCAGAGAAAAACAUCAUAACUAAGUACGAGCCUGCUGGAAAAGCCAGAACUUCAAGAUCCUCUGAAAAGCAUGAUGAUUGGUUGCUCAAGCAGAUCUGCCAAGACAGCGAGUUCCACAUCUUUGGGACCACCACAGAAAAGGCCUUGUUAUACAUCCCCACCAAUCAGACCUCAACAAGUGACAGAAUUGGCAGAAGACUCUCAAUGAUCUUAAGAAACAGAUUAACAAUGUCAGAAACAGCAGAAGAAUCCCAGAUUCUCCCCUCCCCCAGCAGAAGGCUUGUUUUGUAACUUGGUGUUAUUUACAGAGAGACACUGCAGGAACUCAUCCCUCAAGCCGAUGGUCAGCAUCUACUGGAGACGGUGGGGGGGGGGAGUAAAACUAACAGCCCUUUCCAACGGUUAAUUCCUUUCAUAGGGAGUUGUGCAAAAGCCAGCUACACUCUUAGCCCCUGAUCACCUGUUCUUCCAAACCUGCCCAUUUUUAAUUUUCUCUAUCUUUUCCCAAACUCGUGAACAGAUCAGCACAUUCUGGAGUAAAAAGUAGUGCAUUAAGUUAAGUGGCAGGAUUUUCCAUGCAGAACUUGGUAUCUGCAGCUCAGUAGGACGUGUGUUAUUUAGAAUUUUUUCUAUCCCUUCCCCCACAUCAACCUUUCCCUGAGAAUAUUCUGAAGUAAAAAAAAAAUAGUGCAUUCAGCUAAUUUAAGUGGCAGGACUGCCCAUGCAAACUUGGUAUCUGCAGCUCAGUGGGAAGUGUUUUAUUUAGAACUUAUUUAGUGUAGCGCCAUACUAGUAAAACUUUUGUCUAGCUUAUGAACUAAGUUGACAUUUCUUGAGCCCUGUGUAUCACUGCGACUGCUAAGGCCAGGGCCUUGGCCUUUGUUCCAGUUCCUAUGGAUAAAGAGAUAACACUUGCCAAGGAUAUUAUGAACUGCACUAUGCUGAAUAAUCUACAACAACCUUGCUGAUUACAGUCCUUGCAAUAGAAAACUAGAUCAGCAGGAUCCAGAGGCCCCUAUUAGCUACAUCUGUGCAUUAGUGCUAUAGCCUAGGAUAGAAUUAGGAAGAACUCUGUAUUUCUUGCAAUUUUGAUAUUUUGCUGUAUUAAUCUGAGCCUCUUCUACUCCGUAUGAGAAAGUAACCUAACAGUGACCCUACCCUUUCCCUCUUCCCCUCCUUAAUUCCCUCCUCUGAAAUGCCAAUGAGAGAACUGAUGGCCCAAAAGGCCAGGAAGGAAAGCAAUAACUGUUCGACAGCUAAUCCUUACCAAUCAAGGCUGAAGACAGAAGUGGAGGGAAGAAUUACAACUUAAUAGAAACUUCCUGUAGCAAGCCAUGGGUACAACAGAUAAGGAACAUAAUGUGGAGCUAACUGCUCCACAUUAUGCCAGGGAGAGAGGGUGAGAACUGGACAAAAUCUUCUGAGACAAAGUCCCCUGGAGAUAGCACAAUUGCACACAGAUGAUGGAUAUAAGGAGAUGACAUCAAAGACCACCAAAGACUGAGAAACGGAGCGAGACAGGACCGGAACCGGGGGCUGAGUGACAGUUAGCUAACCUACUAGCCUGCCUGAAAUUUGAUUGGUCCUGUCUCAGAGCAUGCAGAGGCUGAUAACCCGUCACACUGAGGAUGACCUCCCAAUACCAUGGAAAAGAGUAAAACAAGUCCAGGUUGAGACAAGGAGAUCAGAGAGCUGAUCCAAGAGAUGUCUCUUCCUUCUCCUUGGCUGACCAGCUUCUCCAGCCUACAUCUUCAUUCAUCUUAUCUCUUCUAUGCUCACCAGCAACUCUACUCUAUGGGAAAAUGGCAGGCUGGCCAUCUGCCCGAACCUUCCCGCUCCUUGGUAAAGAACUCUCCCCCACUCUUCCCUUUUCCUACCUUCUCAUUAAGAACUGUUUUGCAUUUAAGUUAGAAAUAUUGGCUUCUGUUUGUCAGGACUCAGUUGCUGCUGUAACUGCUUGAAUCUAUUUCUUAAAUAAAAGCUAUAAAAUACA